rnacentral:rRNA from 1 species
UUUASGGGGRGGGCAGCAGUGGGGAAUAUUGGACAAUGGGGGRAASCCUGAUCCAGCCAUGCCGCGUGUGUGAAGAAGGCCUUAUGGUUGUAAAGCACUUUAAGCGAGGAGGAGGCUUACCUAACUAAUACUUAGGAUAAGUGGACGUUACUCGCAGAAUAAGCACCGGCUAACUCUGUGCCAGCAGCCGCGGUAAUACAGAGGGUGCAAGCGUUAAUCGGAAUUACUGGGCGUAAAGCGCGCGUAGGUGGCCAAUUAAGUCAAAUGUGAAAUCCCCGAGCUUAACUUGGGAAUUGCAUUCGAUACUGGUUGGCUAGAGUAUAGGAGAGGAAGGUAGAAUUCCAGGUGUAGCGGUGAAAUGCGUAGAGAUCUGGAGGAAUACCGAUGGCGAAGGCAGCCUUCUGGCCUAAUACUGACACUGAGGUGCGAAAGCAUGGGGAGCAAACAGGAUUAGAUACCCUGGUAGUCCAUGCCGUAAACGAUGUCUACUAGCCGUUGGGUCCUUUGAGGACUUAGUGGCGCAGCUAACGCGAUAAGUAGACCGCCUGGGGAGUACGGUCGCAAGACUAAAACUCAAAUGAAUUGACGGGGGCCCGCACAAGCGGUGGAGCAUGUGGUUUAAUUCGAUGCAACGCGAAGAACCUUACCUGGCCUUGACAUAGUAGARACUUUCCAGAGAUGGAUUGGUGCCUUCGGGAAUCUACAUACAGGUGCUGCAUGGCUGUCGUCAGCUCGUGUCGUGAGAUGUUGGGUUAAGUCCCGCAACGAGC